UACUACUCUAUGUUUUAAUUGUUUUUGGCUGUGUCAAUCAGUUCUCAUAUUCAGGUUGUUUUAUGUUUCGUCUUUCAGUUUCAGUACCUAAUUAAUUAUUGUACCAUUGAAAUUUGAAAUAAAAAAGUUGUUUUCACGGCCGUUGUUUUCUUCAUUGAACGAUACGUACGAUUACGUACACGAUACGUGGUGAGCAGGCUACAAAUUUUUGUUUUAAAAAACUAUGGCUGGCACAGAUGACAAUAAACCUACAGAAAACGAAGUUGAAAAUAGCUUGGAAACUGAUGAUGAACUAAAUGAAAUAGUACGCGAAGAAUAUGACCAAUUGAAUGAAUUAGAUUCGAAACUAGAUGAGCUAAAUGAAGCAUUGGAUAUGUUGGAACAAAAAAAUGAUGAUAUACAUUCAAGAUUGCUAGAACUCUUGCAAUCUAAUAGAGAAGUAAGAGAGCAGUUAAAACAUCAACAAAAAGAAAAUAGCAAGUAAACUGAAAUGUACCUACCUAAUUAUAUCAGCUUAGGGGAAAUUUUCAGUUGGUAAUAAUGGAAAGAAAAACGUUUGGACCAGUCAAGGAAAAUUGCAUAAAUUGUAUAUCCAUCUCAAUAAGUGUCAUCCUAUCCAAAAUUAUUUCAAUUUGUUACAAACUAAAAUUAAUUAGUAAAAAUAAUAAAAAGCUGUACACUA